AACGAACGCUGGCGGCAUGCCUAACACAUGCAAGUCGAACGAGACCUUCGGGUCUAGUUGCGCACGGGUGCGUAACGCGUGGGAACCUGCCUUUAGGUUCGGAAUAACUCAGAGAAAUUUGAGCUAAUACCGGAUGAUGUCUUCGGACCAAAGAUUUAUCGCCUUUAGAUGGGCCCGCGUUGGAUUAGCUAGUUGGUGGGGUAAAGGCCUACCAAGGCGACGAUGCAUAGCUGGUCUGAGAGGAUGAUCAGCCACACUGGGACUGAGACACGGCCCAGACUCCUACGGGAGGCAGCAGUGGGGAAUAUUGGACAAUGAGCGAAAGCCUGAUCCAGCAAUGCGGCGUGAGUGAUGCAGGCCUUAGGGUUGUAAAGCUCUUUUAGCCGAGAUGAUAAUGACAGUAUCGGGAGAAUAAGCUCCGGCUAACUCCGUG
rnacentral:rRNA from 1 species